rnacentral:rRNA from 1 species
GAUGAACGCUGGCGGCGUGCCUAACACAUGCAAGUCGAACGGAAAGACCCUGCUUGCAGGUUACUUGAGUGGCGAACGGGUGAGUAAUACGUGGGUGAUUUGCCCUUCACUGCGGGUUAAGUCCGGGAAACUGCGCUAAUUACGGGAACGGCGCGAUGUUGAAUGUGAUGGUUCGAAAGUUUUCGCGGUGUCAGAUGAGCCUGCGUCGUAUCAGCUUGUUGGUGGGGUAAUGGCCUACCAAGGCGGCGACGGGUAGCCGGCCUGGGAGGGUGGACGGCCACAUUGGGCCUGAGGGAGGGAGCAGUCGCCAACGGGAGGCAGCAGGGGAAAAUCUUACACAGUGGGCGCAAGUGUGAUACAGAGGCGCCGGGUGGGUGAAGCCGGCCUACGGGGUGGAAACUCCUUUCGCUAGAGACGAAGCUUUUGUGACGUUACCUGGAUAAGAAGCACCGGCUAACUACGUG